AGACCCGAAACCCGGUGAUCUAGCCAUGGGCAGGUUGAAGGUUGGGUAACACUAACUGGAGGACCGAACCGACUAAUGUUGAAAAAUUAGCGGAUGACCUGUGGCUGGGGGUGAAAGGCCAAUCAAACCGGGAGAUAGCUGGUUCUCCCCGAAAGCUAUUUAGGUAGCGCCUCGUGAAUUCAUCUCCGGGGGUAGAGCACUGUUUCGGCUAGGGGGCCAUCCCGGCUUACCAACCCGAUGCAAACUGCGAAUACCGGAGAAUGUUAUCACGGGAGACACACGGCGGGUGCUAACGUCCGUCGUGAAGAGGGAAACAACCCAGACCGCCAGCUAAGGUCCCAAAGUCAUGGUUAAGUGGGAAACGAUGUGGGAAGGCCCAGACAGCCAGGAUGUUGGCUUAGAAGCAGCCAUCAUUUAAAGAAAGCGUAAUAGCUCACUGGUCGAGUCGGCCUGCGCGGAAGAUGUAACGGGGCUAAACCAUGCACCGAAGCUGCGGCAGCGAACGUAUCACCCAAGACAACUUUACGGAGUUGACGAUUGACGGAGCGAAGCGACGUCAAAGCGUUCAUUAAAGUCGAGUUGGCUUAGGGAUACGUUCGUUGGGUAGGGGAGCGUUCUGUAAGCCUGUGAAGGUGUGUCGUGAGGCAUGCUGGAGGUAUCAGAAGUGCGAAUGCUGACAUAAGUAACGAUAAAGCGGGUGAAAAGCCCGCUCGCCGGAAGACCAAGGGUUCCUGUCCAACGUUAAUCGGGGCAGGGUGAGUCGACCCCUAAGGCGAGGCCGAAAGGCGUAGUCGAUGGGAAACGGGUUAAUAUUCCCGUACUUGGUGUUACUGCGAAGGGGGGACGGAGAAGGCUAUGUUGGCCGGGCGACGGUUGUCCCGGUUUAAGCGUGUAGGUGUGUGUUCCAGGUAAAUCCGGUUCACUUUAACACUGAGGCGUGACGACGAGGCACUACGGUGCUGAAGCAACAAAUGCCCUGCUUCCAGGAAAAGCCUCUAAGCAUCAGGUAACACGAAAUCGUACCCCAAACCGACACAGGUGGUCAGGUAGAGAAUACCAAGGCGCUUGAGAGAACUCGGGUGAAGGAACUAGGCAAAAUGGUGCCGUAACUUCGGGAGAAGGCACGCUGACACGUAGGUGAAGUGAUUUACUCAUGGAGCUGAAGUCAGUCGAAGAUACCAGCUGGCUGCAACUGUUUAUUAAAAACACAGCACUGUGCAAACACGAAAGUGGACGUAUACGGUGUGACGCCUGCCCGGUGCCGGAAGGUUAAUUGAUGGGGUCAGCGUAAGCGAAGCUC
rnacentral:rRNA from 1 species